ensembl:lincRNA
CCCUCUCUGCUGGCGCGCGGCCCCAUCCAUGUGUUAACGGCUCAUAGCGCAGCUGGAAGGGGAGGGUGUAGCUGUGCAGUCCCGCCCCCUGCCGCUUCUGGGAAGGACAGUGCUUGCCACUGUUAGUCUGGCCCUUCCGGCCAGUCCGCAGGGAGCGGUCCUUUGCGAUGGACGCGGUGUCAGCCACUGGGCUCGGGGUCACCGUGUCCCAGGGCUUUGCCAAGCUGUUGCGGCCUCUGCAGAUGCUGUACGCGGCCCUCGAAGCCCGGCUGCUGAGGCUGGUUGCUACCUUGCCUGAGCAUGUUCAGCCCCGGCCUGACUUUUAUGGGCUCCCCUGGAAGCCUGUGUUGUUUACUGCCUGUUUGGGAAUCGUUUCGUUGGCCAUUUUCUUCUGGAGGACAGUCCUUGCUGUCAAGGAGAGAACAUACCAAGUCACUGAACAGCAGAUUGCUGAGAAGCUGAAGAAUACCACAAAGGACAGUGCAGAACUUGUCAAAAAAGUGUCAAGUUAUAAACAGAAGAUCGAGGAAUCAAAGAAGCUUAUUCUGGAGACGAAGGAAAAAAAUUCUCAUCAAACAAUUAAAUACAAGGCUGAAAUCAAGGUGCUUGAAGAAAGAAAUAAAUUUCUGACAGGUAUUGCCAAAACUGUUGGUGUUAUAUUCAAAUCUGAGAGGAAACGAAACGUGCAAAAUCAGGAUUUGGUGAGUUCUUGCUGCUGCGUGUUACUACAGUUGUAUUUUUAGCUAUUUCAUAAAUUAGCUGAACUGUUCCCAUGCUGUUAACUCCUUAAGAUUAGGAGUAACAGAACAGAACAUGCCUGUACCCAUUUUGUGGGAUUUUUAGUACUAACCCAGUAGGACCUUUUUAUAGGCAUGGGAAGUGUUUUGAUCCUGAAAUUUGGAUAAUUUCAUGGCUGAGUCCUCCAGAACACACAGAGUCACUAAGAAACUGGUCCAGUUGAGUAGUCUGUGUAAACUGGUUUUAUUUCACAGUAGACUCUGUGCCUUUCGAAUAGUUUUAAAAUCCCCUAAGUGGAAAUGUAGUGAGGAGAGUUCUCAUGCUUCCUGCCUCCUGUGUGGCCUGGUCCUUUGCUCAGCACAGACCUGGUAAGUUGCCCAUUUUCAGUCCUUUGUGCACCAUGCUCUUUGGCGGGAAGUCAUGACACAAAACCUGCAGUUAAUCCCCAGUACCAAUGAAAAGGAAAAAGACAAAAGACAAAAAAAAAAAAAAAAACAAAAACGCUGGGUUAGGGUCACUCCUUGAGCCUGGAUUGUCAUAAAUAUUGAGAAAUUCUGCACAUGAGAUUUUUCUGUUCCCCCAGAAACACUUUUUUUGUGUUGUUUUGCUUUGGUUUUGUCUUCUUGAGACUGGCUUUUGUUAUGCAGUUCAGGCUGGCUGUGAACUCACUUUGAAGCCUAGGCAGGCCUAAAACUCUCCUCUCCUGCCUCAGCCUCCCAAGUGCUAGGAUUACAAGAGUCCACCAUACCCAGCAUUCUUACCAUUCAUACAAGAAAAUGUCUACAGUGAUUUUGGAGCUUUUGGGGGGGGGGCAGGGAUCGAACUCAUGACCCAGUGCUUGGUGGGCAGGCAGUUAUGCUGCUGAGCUAAAUCUCCAGCUCUUUGAGGGCUUUUUUCUCUUCAUGCCAGCAGAAAAGCUGUUCAUUUUCCGUGGUUUGCUUGAACAUUUCUUCAUACUAUGUUGUGUGGUCACCCCAAAGCUUGAGGGUACCAUGAAACUGUUCACUUCAGUUUUUUUCCUCAGCUCUUUUUUUUUUAAUUUAAAGAAAGACUAAACAAAAC